CAGGCCUUGUUUCUUCAGUGGCUGAGCAUUUGGUGUAAUCCUCACAAGUGACAUCCUUCCCCCAUGUUCCUACAGCUGAUUGUCAAGAGACCUGGGCUGCACCCAGUCUGUGCUGCUCAGAAGUCCAUGCACUUCACACCAUGCACUUCACACCUUGCUACAUGUCCUUCUUGUUUUGGGGGCUCAGGUUUGGAGUUUCUUGCUCUGUGACUCAAUCACAAAGGAAGGAUGAGUAAGGAAGGAUAUAAGCUCUUCACUGGAGAGUCUCCAUUGGAACUUCCAGUCUAGCUGGAUGGCAUGGGAAAGGGACUUAGUUUUAGCUCAUUAUUUUCAUCUGUAACAUAGGGCAAUAACUAUUAUACCAUGAGAUGGAACAGUAUGAGGAUUAACCAAAGAAAUCCGUAGAGAGGACAUCCAUAUGCUUAUGCAUAAAAAUACUUGGCAAGUUCAAAGUCACAUUACUAGCAACUGGCAACUUUCAAAAACCUAGAGGGGCUGAGGGUCUAGCUCAGUGGCACAAGUGCCCGCCUAGCAAGCACAAGGUUGUGAGUUUGAUCCCUGGUACUCCACCCCUCAGCAAAUAGGUAUUAGCAAAAAUCUAGAAUUAACUUGAUAUUAUGCUUUUUCUGGUCAUAAGAAGCAGGAGACACAUGAACAAAGCCCUUUUGUUGAAAUAGUUGAGUAUAUUGUACACUCUCUUUGAAGUUAUAUCAUGCACAAAUUAGUCAUUUACAGAGUUAAAACGAUGCCUAUGAAAAGAUAUAUGAAUGUAAAAUGUUACUCAGUCUAUCUUGAAACAUCUAGCCAUUGUGGUUUUUCUCACUUGAGCUAUGGCAGUUCAAGUUAAGAUGAUUAAGAGGAAAACCCACUGAAGCACGGCAUUAAGAGGAAUAGACAAUACGACUUACCAUUUUCAUCAUUCAUGCAAGCUUCAGGUUUAGAAGUACUCCUAACUAGAAGAUAAGAGAACAGGUCAGGGAGAGUACAGCCUCUUAUGAGCUGGACUAAGUCACCUGGCCUCUGCAGAGAUCCCACUUGAUGAGAGACCAAACCAGGUGUCAUUCCAAGUGUUUUGUGAUUCAUAUGCAUGGACAUCUACAUUGAUUAUAAAGCAAUUUCUGUUUGGAAUCCAGUUGCUCUUGAUAGAAGACUUACCAAGUUGUUCCAAAAUGACAGUACUCAGUGAUGAUCUAAUAAGCAGUUUAUGUUCUGAAGCUAAUAUUGCAUCAGACUCAGAUAAAGUUGAUGAGUGGGUAGAAAUGUGCAAGUUCUGGGAAGCACCAUCCGUGUAACACAAUAUCCUUGCCAUGGGCAAGUGAGGAAGAGAACCAGUCAGUGUCUCCUGGGAUCCAGCCAUGUUGGAACUUUGGGUGUUGAGCAAGAAAGCAACUUGCCUGUCUUCCUGGUAAGCAGCUGUGGCUCAAGGGAGCUGUGAUCGAGUCAGGAAGAGAACCAGUCAGUGUCUCCCAUGAGCCUACUGGUGUGCAGGCUGAGAAUCAAUAUCCUAUCCCCAUCCCUAACCCCCAUUAGCAACUGGGAAUCAGAGGUCUGAGCAUCUCUUGGGAGGAUGACAAUAUAGCAAACAUGGGGGAUUUCCUUUUACCAUUUCUUUGAAGGCAAAUAUGUUUUCACUGUUUUGCUUUGUUCUGAUCAAUUGUCCUGCUCUAUUCAAUAUUCUGUUUUAAUAGGCUUUAUGACGUUCUGUAUUUGGUUUGAUUUUGCAAUACCUGAUUGAAUGGACAACUAUUGUGAAGAUAAUGAGAUAUACUAUGGUACCUAUUACUGUUAUCCCGGUAUCCUGCUGUGAAGUGCUGUACAAUUUCACUGCAUUGUCUCGAUUGGCUUUGUUCUAUCUUGUUCUGUUGUAUUUUACUACCUUCACAAUUAAAAAAAAAAUCCUCACCAUUGUGAUUUUUUUUUUUUUUUUGGUCUUUUUCCUUUUUAUCGGUACCGGGGAUCGAACUCACGACUGCCUGCUUGCAAGGCAGGUGCUUAUGCUGCUGAGCUAAAUCCCCAGCCCCUACCACUGUGAUUUAUGACAAUAUUGCUACUUCCUGAGACAAGAAAGUUUGAAGACAAAAUACUACAUUAGGCUCAAUAAUCAAAUUUUGGCUACUUGCUAAUAUUCAAACAGAGAGGCAUUUGGUUAUGAAGCAAUGUCAUAGAUUUUGUUGUAUCUCUUCAAAACGUGGCUGGUGGAACCACAUGAAAUGAAGAACAUGAAAAAUCCUUAAUCACGAUAACACAUCAAAAUACCAACCAGUACUACCAAAUUCACACCACCUACGCGAGGACAAAGCACCCGGUGUCACAGUGAACACUAGGAAAUUUGGACUUUGGGUCAACAUAGCCAUAUGGAACUGGUGAAGAAUUUACAUAUAUACCCAUGGGUAGGUCAAUAUCUACCACGCACAUGCCCUAGUUAAACAAUUUGUCAAAGAGAAUGAUGCAAUAUUAUGAGUUCAGAACAGAAAGGAAGCACAGAGAUAAAGGGCAGUGCACAGCCAUUGGAGAAUAGUACAGAGUAGAUGGACUGUGGAGUCUGUGUCCUGCCAAAUUUCCUUCCCUUCAAAGUAGUGAAUUUGGAAUGCAUUGGGACUACAUCAGAUCUGCUUGGGACCUGGGGCAUCAUUUGGGAAGAUAAGGCAUACGUAUCACAUCUCCCCUUUGAACAAAUAUGAUGUUACUAAAAGACACAGCACUGACCCAACAUUUGCAAGAAACGGAGACUGAGAUGGAGGAAUACAGACCCACUUCUGUAUGUAACUAGCUUGGGAGAAGCCCCUUGCCCAAUAUGGUCCCCAGCUUUAUCAGCUGAGUGACAGAAUUGGGCUAAUAUGUUCCAAGAACCCUCCCAGUUCUACCUUCUGUGAACCCUGAAUGGGCAUGUUGAAGAGUCACUCUGGGUACACGAAUGUCCAUGCAGGUGACAAGCACGAAUAGGGAGAUAGAUCUUCCUACAGGUCCCUUUGCCUCUGUGACACUCUGAACCCCAAGUAGGCACUUCAGUAUGUGUGUUCAUCUGAUGGGACAACAUUAUGAUGAUCCGGUAAAAGACACCUUGUCUUUCUUAUCUGCCUCCAUGUGGGAGUCAGGUUGGUCUUGCUCCCACCUGGAGAGCCAUAAGGAAUCCAUUUUAGAGGCUCCAUUUCUCUCAGUUGAUACAAGAGUACAAUGGCAUUCUGGAGAGGACCCCACAAAGCUUGCAACUUAGGUUCACCAACCUGUGUGGUCUUUGGGUAAAGAAGGAUUGGUUGUAAAAUACCAUUAUGGUGUCUCCAUAGAAAAAGCAAGGAAGAGAAAAUUAAAACGGUUGAUGCUAAGAGCAAAAAAAAAAAAAAAAAAGGAAAAGGGGAAAAAUAGUUAAGUCAGCACCCAAACGCAAGCCAAGGCAUGAGACAAAUCCAUAGGGUUGGCAUUUCUAUAACUAGUGUCAGAUUAGACACUACUAUAAGCGAGUGUAGAUUAGAACCUAGGAUAUAGUGGCAUCAAUGGCUCUGAGAGGAUGAAACCAGGAUAGGAAAUGCUUAUUCAUGUGCCAAGAAACAUCCUGCAUAUGAGACAUGGCAUAUAUAUACGCUUGGUGUAAGCAAUGAUCAGAUCCCAGAAGACUUCAUCAACAACUUUGUUACCCUAAUAUAAUGUGAUUUUCUUCUGGCAGGAAGCCAUUCCUGAUUGUUCUCAGGAAUUGCUUCAAAGAUACCUAUCCUUGACCUCUCUUCAUUCUUUGAGUUUUUAUCUUUUUUUUUUUUUUGCCAUAUUGUAUAAGCACUGUAGAGUUUCUUGAGUAUGGAAGACAGUUUCAUGAUGGUUUAUAGUAAUAAAUGAGAUAAUAACUCCAUGGUCUGUUGCAAUAGUGGGUACAUUUUAUAGGUCAGCAACUUGCUUAAAGUCCAUGGAUUGUUCCCUGUUAUCAGUUAGUGUAGUUAUAUAUCUUCGAUAUUAUUAUAUUCUUCCAGUAAAACCUGAAACCUGUUGAAGGAAAAAUAAAUUGUUUUAACCUUUCGCUUUGUUUCAUUCAUCAGUCUUGGUUUUUAAGAAAGAAAGCUGUACUUUGCUGAAGCUUGGAGACAGUGCAAGGAUGACUUUUCUAAGUAUCUGCAUUUUAUCUGAAAUGGCUCAGUGAAGUGAUUGAGUCAUAAAAGGAAAAACUGGGACUUGUUGAACACGAUGCAAUUAACUUUCAGAUAAGAGCUCAUGAAGCAACCCUCUGAGACCGUAAACACUGUGCCCUCUUAAAGCUGGGAAAGCAGAAUGAAAAGGCCCAGUAACUUUUCAAGGUCACGAUGUCUGAGUGGCUUAACAGGAAUGUGGGGUAACUUUGCACAGUAAGGUCACCAUAGACCUAACAGGAAUGUGGGAUAACUUUGCACAGUAAGGUCAUCAUAAAUAAUAACGACGUCUUAUACAUUUCAAAAAGCUGAAAAAGAUGAUUUGCAAAGUUCAUCACAAAGAACUGAUGAAUUUUUGAGACAAAUCUUCUUCAUAAUGCUUGGUAGCCCAUUAAUACGUACAACUUUUGUUUUGCAAAAUAAGCAAACAAUGAUAAAGAAGCAUACAGAG